rnacentral:rRNA from 1 species
UUUAUUGAGAGUUUGAUCCUGGCUCAGGAUGAACGCUGGCGGCGUGGGUAAGGCAUGCAAGUCGAACGGACUAAUUUGUGAUUACAUCAAUGAUUAGUUAGUGGCAAACGGGUGAGUAACACAUUGGUAACCUACCUUGAAGACGAACACAACCCCGAGAAAUCGGGGCUAAUAUUCGAUGGUCAUGAGGGGACAAAAGUCAUUCUCAUGUAAAGUUCCAAAAGAACGCUUCAAGAGGGGCCUAUGGUCUAUCAGCUAGUUGGUGAGGUAAAAGCUCACCAAGGCUAUGACGGAUAGCGGGCGUGAGAGCGCGACCCGCCUCACUGGGACUGAGACACUGCCGAAUAAGAGGUUGCUAACUCUGUGCCAGCAGCAGCGGUAAUACAGAGACCUCGAGCGUUAUCCGGAUUUAUUGGGCGUAAAGCGUCCGCAGGUGGUUUGUACAGUCAUUGGUAAAAUCUCGGAGCUCAACUCCGAAUCUGCUGAUGAUACUAACAGACUAGAGGAUGGGAGAGGUGAGCGGAAUUGCCGGUGUAGUAGUAAAAUGCGUUUAUAUCGGCAAGAACACCAGAGGCGAAGGCGGCUCACUGGAACAUUCCUGACACUAAGGGACGAAAGCGUGGGGAGCGAUACGGAUUAGAUACCCGUGUAGUCCACGCCCUAAACGAUGGAUACUAGACUUUGGCAGUAUCGACCCUGUCAGAGUCGGUCAAAAAAGCUAACGCAUUAAGUAUCCCGCCUGGGAAGUACGGCCGCAAGGCUAAAACUCAAAGGAAUAGACGGGGACCCGCACAAGCGGUGGAGCAUGUGGUUCAAUUCGACGGUAAACGAAAAACCUUACCAGGGCUUGAAAUGUAGCUGCUAAUCUCCAGAAACGGAGACUCCUUCGAGGGUGCUACACAGGUGCUGCAUGGUUGCCGUCAGCUCGUGCCGUGAGGUGUACCAUUAAGUUGGGUAACGAGCGCAACCCCCGUGUUAUGUUAUUUUUUACAUAACAGACCGCCCCUGCCUGUAGGCAUUUAAAAAAGUGCCUAGAGGCAGGGGAGGAAGGAGGGGAUGACGUCAAAUCAGCAUGGCUCUUACGUCCUGGGCCACACACGUGCUACAAUGGGGAAUAACAAUGGGUUGCCAAGUCGCGAGACGGAGCUAAUCCCAUCAAACUUCCCCCCAGUUCAGAUCGCAGUCUGCAACUCGACUGCGUGAAGUAGGAAUCGCUAGUAAACGCCGAUCAGCUAUGCGGCGUUGAAUACGUUCUCGGGUCUUGUACUCACCGCCCGUCAAGCCAAGGGAGUUGGGGACGCCUGAAGGCUGGGUUUAUCCCGGUCCAAGGCGGAAUCAGCGACAGGGGCUAAGUCGUAACAAGGCAUGUGUAGCGGAAGCUGCGCAUGGAUCACCUCCUUU